rnacentral:lncRNA from 1 species
AAAUAUUGUUUGCAUUAUACAUUUUAUGAGUUGAACAAUUUUACCCUUUUAAGUGGGAGUAAGAAGCUAUGCCUUCGUGAGGUUUUCACCUCCGUGUAGGGUAGUGGAUUGCUUUCGGGAUACAUUCGUACCUAUUUCUUUGUGAGAUUUUCAUCUCCGUGUAGCCAUAGGGAAAUGUAUUCCCCUGAACCAAACUCGAUCCAUAUGAGCCUAUAAUGGGUGAGGAUUGAGGAAUCUGCUGGUUCGGGUACCUUUAUUCUAGAAGCCAAACCUCAUAUAAUGAACCUUAGAAAUCCACCCUAAGUAGAACUAUACUAAACCCUAGUAGAUAUCCGAGUAGGAAUUUUACUAUUAUAUUAUAUGUUUAUAUGAUAUUGACUUUUCGUGUUUUAUUUACAUGUCAUGGAAUUUCAUUUCAUUAUAAAAGAGGUGUUGAUUAAUGUUCAAUUGCUAAAUAGAGAUCUGGUCAUAAAAAAAUGGGUUUCUUAAUAAAGUGGAUGACAAUAUGGUUGUCCGAAUAUGGUCCAAGAACACAUGAUAAGAGAAGGAUGAUAAUUUAAUGGAGGACUAUGGCUCCGUUGCCCUAGAAUUCAAGAUGACAAAGAUUAUUUGAGAACUGUUGAACCUUCUUAAAGAGAAGCCAACGAGCAUCACGAGGAUGAGCGAACAACAAGUUACGGCCUGGAUCGAGCAAAAAGGAGAUAGAAGAGACAUUUUUGAAGAGUUCGUGAGAUUUAUCUUAACGCUCGAAUGAAGAAGAAGAUUGAAUGUCUUCGCCUAUGAGGGUAAGGCCGUAUAAAUAUUCAUUUUAUGUAAAGAGAUUUGUUUUCUAGUAAAGUUCUUUAAAUGGAAUUGAAUCAGAAUCGUCUCUUUAUGCAUUCAUUUCAUGCAUUCACAUUACAUGAUAUCAUAUGCAUUAAAGUCAACUAAAAGAUUCUAAUUGAUAUAAAUCAUUCCUCAGUUAAUCUGGAAACCAACCAGCCUACUAAACACCGUUACGAUACUCGAUUGAAAACUAAGGAUAU